AAGAAAAAGAAGGUAGAGGCAAGAUUUUAUCUAACAUAAAUUUAACUCUGAUGUAAAAUGCCAAUUUUCUACCACAUAAGCCAUAAAAACAACAGUAGGAAUGCAGCAUAAUAUUUGCCAUUAUUCCUGCCUCGUGGGAAUUUUAAGGUUUUAAGGAAACAGGAAAGAAGAGGUAUCAAGGCAAUAGAAGAGAGAGAGUCCAGGGUGUAAAGAAUCCCAUGUAGAUACAGCAGGCAGAAAACUAUGUAAAAGAAUCUCCUGAUGUCAUAAUUUCUGUGUGUCACUGGAACAUUUGAUCAUCAUUCCUUUGGCAAUUCCAGCUUUCUAUGGAAGGUCAGUAGAAGCAAUUUAUUCACCUCUACAGGAAUCAGACAGCCUAUUUUGGUAAGUCUGAGC